GGCAGAGUGGCCGAGCGGUCUAAGGCGCUGGUUUAAGGCACCAGUCACUUCGGUGGCGCGAGUUCGAAUCUCGCCUCUGUCA
rnacentral:tRNA from 1 species